AAAUCGGUGUUAGCCUUCCGCCGCCGAGCGUCAGCCGAGGAAUCCGGUGCAACACCGGAGCGGUCGCGCCACUGUGAGCGGAUCGACGAUCCGCGAGCCAGGAACUCACGGGGCUCGGUACCUCCUA
rnacentral:ncRNA from 2 species